rnacentral:rRNA from 1 species
UACAGAGGGUGCAAGCGUUGUUCGGAAUUAUUGGGCGUAAAGGGCGCGUAGGCGGCUCUGCACGUUCGUUGUGAAAUCGCCCGGCUCAACUGGGCGGGGUCAGCGGAUACGGCAGAGCUUGAGCAAGCUAGGGGGCAAUGGAAUUCCCGGUGUAGUGGUGGAAUGCGUAGAUAUCGGGAGGAACACCAGUGGCGAAGGCGGCUACCUGGCCCACUCUUGACGCUGAGGCGCGAAAGCUAGGGGAGCAAACGGG